rnacentral:sRNA from 1 species
GAGCAGUGUUUGCUUGGUCAGGGGAGAUGAAGUGAAUGUGCGUGUCGAUUGCACCCGCUGUAACGAUUAAGUUUUCGCCGGAAAUAAUUUCCGUGCUUGCACCGAUAACAAGACCCGGAUCGACAUUGUCGUUCAUGUCAGGGUUUCCGGAUUUACCUAUACCGGUAAUGAUACCGUCUCUGAUUCCGAUGUCCGCUUUGUAAAUUCCGGUGUAGUCCAAAAUGACUGCAUUUGUAAUAACUGUAUCGCAAGUGCCGGAUGCAUAGCUUGCGGUCGAAGAUUGGUUCAUGCCGUCUCUUAU